rnacentral:rRNA from 1 species
UACGGAGGGUGCAAGCGUUAUCCGGAUUCACUGGGUUUAAAGGGUGCGUAGGUGGGCAGGUAAGUCAGUGGUGAAAUCUCCGGGCUUAACCCGGAAACUGCCGUUGAUACUAUUUGUCCUGAAUAUUGUGGAGGUAAGCGGAAUAUGUCAUGUAGCGGUGAAAUGCUUAGAUAUGACAUAGAACACCAAUUGCGAAGGCAGCUUACUACACAACGAUUGACGCUGAGGCACGAAAGCGUGGGGAUCAAACAGG